GACGAACGCUGGCGGCGUGCUUAACACAUGCAAGUCGAACGGGAUCCAUUUCAUGAAGUUUUCGGAUGGAUUGAGGUGGUGAGAGUGGCGGACGGGCGAGUAACGCGUGAGCAACCUGCCCUUUGCAGGGGGAUAACAUCGGGAAACCGGUGCUAAUACCGCAUAAGACCACAGUGCCGCAUGGUACAGGGGUCAAAGCUGAGGCGGCAAAGGAUGGGCUCGCGUCCAAUUAGCUAGUUGGUGGGGUAAAGGCUCACCAAGGCGACGAUUGGUAGCCGAACUGAGAGGUUGGUCGGCCGCAUUGGGACUGAGACACGGCCCAGACUCCUACGGGAGGCAGCAGUGGGGAAUAUUGCGCAAUGGAGGAAACUCUGACGCAGCAACGCCGCGUGAAGGAAGAAGGCCUUCGGGUUGUAAACGUUACUUUGUAUCGGGGACGGAAGGAAUGACGGUACCCGAGGAACAAGACCACGGCUAACUACGUGCCAGCAGCCGCGGUAAAGUACACGUCG
rnacentral:rRNA from 1 species